UUCUUUGUUGGCAUUUGUUCACCUUUCUUGAUGAUUUGCCACAAUUGAAAGUUGUGUGAUUGGAUGAAUAUUCUCAUCCGCUCUUUCCAGUAUGUAUAAUUUCUUCCAUCAAAAAAUGGAGGCCUCUUGGUGGAGUGUCCUUCGCUCAUUAUUCCUGCGUUCAAUAUUCUCAACAAAAAAAUAUAUAUCGCUCUCAACCGGUUAAUGCUUUCUGAGAGUUAGGCUCUCAUACCAAUUGUUAGGAUUUAUGCCCGUCACUAGAGGGGGGGGUGAAUAGUGCGGCACGAGAAUAUUGAUAAAUAU
rnacentral:lncRNA from 1 species